rfam:Wallemia ichthyophaga EXF-994 unplaced genomic scaffold scaffold11, whole genome shotgun sequence.
UCGUGUAUGGUGUAGUGGUUAUCAUAUCGGUUUUUCACUUGAAAGACCACCGAAGAGCCGGGUUCGAUUCCCGGUACGCGAA